AGUCGAACGGUAACAGGAAGCAGCUUGCUGCUUUGCUGACGAGUGGCGGACGGGUGAGUAAUGUCUGGGAAACUGCCUGAUGGAGGGGGAUAACUACUGGAAACGGUGGCUAAUACCGCAUAACGUCGCAAGACCAAAGAGGGGGACCUUCGGGCCUCUUGCCAUCAGAUGUGCCCAGAUGGGAUUAGCUUGUUGGUGAGGUAACGGCUCACCAAGGCGACGAUCCCUAGCUGGUCUGAGAGGAUGACCAGCCACACUGGAACUGAGACACGGUCCAGACUCCUACGGGAGGCAGCAGUGGGGAAUAUUGCACAAUGGGCGCAAGCCUGAUGCAGCCAUGCCGCGUGUAUGAAGAAGGCCUUCGGGUUGUAAAGUACUUUCAGCGGGGAGGAAGGUGUUGUGGUUAAUAACCGCAGCAAUUGACGUUACCCGCAGAAGAAGCACCGGCUAACUCCGUGCCAGCAGCCGCGGUAAUACGGAGGGUGCAAGCGUUAAUCGGAAUUACUGGGCGUAAAGCGCACGCAGGCGGUCUGUCAAGUCGGAUGUGAAAUCCCCGGGCUCAACCUGGGAACUGCAUUCGAAACUGGCAGGCUUGAGUCUUGUAGAGGGGGGUAGAAUUCCAGGUGUAGCGGUGAAAUGCGUAGAGAUCUGGAGGAAUACCGGUGGCGAAGGCGGCCCCCUGGACAAAGACUGACGCUCAGGUGCGAAAGCGUGGGGAGCAAACAGGAUUAGAUACCCUGGUAGUCCACGCCGUAAACGAUGUCUACUUGGAGGUUGUGCCCUUGAGGCGUGGCUUCCGGAGCUAACGCGUUAAGUAGACCGCCUGGGGAGUACGGCCGCAAGGUUAAAACUCAAAUGAAUUGACGGGGGCCCGCACAAGCGGUGGAGCAUGUGGUUUAAUUCGAUGCAACGCGAAGAACCUUACCUGGUCUUGACAUCCACAGAACAUUCCAGAGAUGGAUUGGUGCCUUCGGGAACUGUGAGACAGGUGCUGCAUGGCUGUCGUCAGCUCGUGUUGUGAAAUGUUGGGUUAAGUCCCGCAACGAGCGCAACCCUUAUCCUUUGUUGCCAGCGGUCCGGCCGGGAACUCAAAGGAGACUGCCAGUGAUAAACUGGAGGAAGGUGGGGAUGACGUCAAGUCAUCAUGGCCCUUACGACCAGGGCUACACACGUGCUACAAUGGCGCAUACAAAGAGAAGCGACCUCGCGAGAGCAAGCGGACCUCAUAAAGUGCGUCGUAGUCCGGAUUGGAGUCUGCAACUCGACUCCAUGAAGUCGGAAUCGCUAGUAAUCGUGGAUCAGAAUGCCACGGUGAAUACGUUCCCGGGCCUUGUACACACCGCCCGUCACACCAUGGGAGUGGGUUGCAAAAGAAGUAGGUAGCUUAACCUUCGGGAGGGCGCUUACCACUUUGUGAUUCAUGACUGGGGUGAAGUCGUAACAAGGUAACCGUAGGGGAACCUGC
rnacentral:rRNA from 1 species